UACGUAGGUGGCAAGCGUUGUCCGGAUUUACUGGGCGUAAAGAGCGCGCAGGCGGUCGUUCAAGUCGAGUGUGAAAGCCCCCGGCUCAACUGGGGAGGGUCACUCGAUACUGAUCGACUCGAAGGCAGGAGAGGGAAGCGGAAUUCCCGGUGUAGUGGUGAAAUGCGUAGAUAUCGGGAGGAACACCAGUGGCGAAGGCGGCUUUCUGGCCUGUUCUUGACGCUGAGGCGCGAAAGCGUGGGGAGCAAACAGG
rnacentral:rRNA from 1 species